rfam:Dipodomys ordii contig_10289, whole genome shotgun sequence.
GGGAAUGUGGCUUAGUGGUAGAGUGCUUGCCUAACAUGCAUGAAGCCCUGGGUUCCAUUCCUC